GACGAACGCUGGCGGCGUGCCUAAUACAUGCAAGUCGAACGCAGUGGGGACGGGUGAGUAACACGUGGGUAACCUGCCAUCAGAGGGGAUAACACUUGGAAACAGGUGCUAAACCGAUACUGAUGGAUGGACCCGCGGUGCAUGAACUAGUUGGUGAGGUAACGGCGCACCAAGGCCAAGCUGCAUAGCCGACCUGAGAGGGUGAUCGGCCACACUGCGACUGAGACACGGCCCAGACUCCUACGGGAGGCAGCAUUAGGGAACCUUCGGAAAUGGACGAAAGUCUGACCGACCAACGCCGCGUGAGUGAAGAAGGUUUUCGGAUCGUAAAACUCUGUUGUUAGAGAAGCGGUAUCUAACCAGAAAGCCACGGCUAACUACGUGCCAGCCGCCGCGGUAAUUC
rnacentral:rRNA from 1 species